AAUGGACGAAAGUCUGAUCCAGCCAUGCCGCGUGCAGGAAGACUGCCUACGGGUUGUAAACUGCUUUUAUACAGGAAGAACACUCCGACGUGUCGGAGCUUGACGGUACUGUAAGAAUAAGGAUCGGCUAACUCCGUGCCAGCAGCCGCGGUAAUACGGAGGGUGCAAGCGUUAUCCGGAAUCAUUGGGUUUAAAGGGUCCGCAGGCUGUUUUUUAAGUCAGAGGUGAAAUCCUGCAGCUCAACUGUAGAACUGCCUUUGAUACUGGAAAACUUGAGUUAUUGUGAAGUGGUUAGAAUGUGUGGUGUAGCGGUGAAAUGCAUAGAUAUCACACAGAAUACCGAUUGCGAAGGCAGAUCACUAACAAUAUACUGACGCUCAUGGACGAAAGCGUGGGGAGCGAACAGGAUU
rnacentral:rRNA from 1 species